rnacentral:rRNA from 1 species
AUUGAACGCUGGCGGCAUGCCUUACACAUGCAAGUCGAACGGCAGCAUGGAAGAGCUUGCUCUUCUGAUGGCGAGUGGCGAACGGGUGAGUAAAGCAUCGGAACGUACCGUGUAGUGGGGGAUAACGUAGCGAAAGUUACGCUAAUACCGCAUACGCACUGAGGUGGAAAGCAGGGGAUCGCAAGACCUUGCGCUAUACGAGCGGCCGAUGUCAGAUUAGCUAGUUGGUAGGGUAAAGGCCUACCAAGGCGACGAUCUGUAGCGGGUCUGAGAGGAUGAUCCGCCACACUGGGACUGAGACACGGCCCAGACUCCUACGGGAGGCAGCAGUGGGGAAUUUUGGACAAUGGGCGAAAGCCUGAUCCAGCCAUGCCGCGUGAGUGAAGAAGGCCUCGGUGUAAGCUCUUCGUCUGGAGAAUACGCACAGCUAAUACUCUGUGUGGAGUGACGGUACCACGCACAAG